rnacentral:rRNA from 1 species
UAGGGAAUCUUCGGUNAAUGGGGGCAACCCUGACCGAGCAACGCCGCGUGAGUGAAGAAGGUUUUCGGAUCGUAAAGCUCUGUUGUAAGUCAAGAACGAGUGUGAGAGUGGAAAGUUCACACUGUGACGGUAGCUUACCAGAAAGGGACGGCUAACUACGUGCCAGCAGCCGCGGUAAUACGUAGGUCCCGAGCGUUGUCCGGAUUUAUUGGGCGUAAAGCGAGCGCAGGCGGUUUGAUAAGUCUGAAGUUAAAGGCUGUGGCUCAACCAUAGUUCGCUUUGGAAACUGUCAAACUUGAGUGCAGAAGGGGAGAGUGGAAUUCCAUGUGUAGCGGUGAAAUGCGUAGAUAUAUGGAGGAACACCGGUGGCGAAAGCGGCUCUCUGGUCUGUAACUGACGCUGAGGCUCGAAAGCGUGGGGAGCGAACAGGAUUAGAUACCCUGGUAGUCCACGCCGUAAACGAUGAGUGCUAGGUGUUGGAUCCUUUCCGGGAUUCAGUGCCGCAGCUAACGCAUUAAGCACUCCGCCUGGGGAGUACGACCGCAAGGUUG